UACGAAGGGGGCUAGCGUUGCUCGGAAUCACUGGGCGUAAAGCGCACGUAGGCGGCUUGUUAAGUCAGGGGUGAAAUCCUGGAGCUCAACUCCAGAACUGCCUUUGAUACUGGGGAUCUCGAGUCCGGAAGAGGUGAGUGGAACUCCGAGUGUAGAGGUGAAAUUCGUAGAUAUUCGGAAGAACACCAGUGGCGAAGGCGGCUCACUGGUCCGGUACUGACGCUGAGGUGCGAAAGCGUGGGGAGCAAACAGGG
rnacentral:rRNA from 1 species